UACGGGGGGAGCAAGCGUUGUUCGGAUUUACUGGGCGUAAAGGGCGCGUAGGCGGUCAGCACAAGUCAGUUGUGAAAUCUCCGGGCUUAACUCGGAAAGGUCAACUGAUACUGUGCGACUAGAGUGCAGAAGGGGCAACUGGAAUUCUCGGUGUAGCGGUGAAAUGCGUAGAUAUCGAGAGGAACACCUGCGGCGAAGCGGGUGGCUGGGCUGACACUGACGCUGAUGCGCGAAAGCCAGGGGAGCGAACGGA
rnacentral:rRNA from 1 species